CAAUAGCGUAUAUUAAAGUUGUUGCAGUUAAAAAGCUCGUAGUUGAAUUUCUGUCAGGAGUGACCGGGCCUUUGGAUGCACUUCCAUUGUUUUUUGCUCUGUUUGUCAUCUCUAGACAUCCUGAAAUAUUUUUUAAAAAUAUUUCUCUUUUACUGUUAGCAAAAUAGAGUGUUCCAAGCAAAGCGUAGUUUUGAAUACAUUAGAAUGGAAUAAUAAGAUAGGACUUUGGUGCUAUUUUGUUGGUUUGCACACCAAGGUAAUGAUUAAUAGGGACAGUUGGGGGUAUUCGUAUUUAAUUGUCAGAGGUGAAAUUCUUGGAUUUAUGAAAGACGAACUACUGCGAAAGCAUUUACCAAGGAUGUUUUCAUUAA
rnacentral:rRNA from 1 species